rnacentral:lncRNA from 1 species
CUGAGUGUGCAGAGCCAGUUUAAGAAUGAGGUCUUGUUUCCCAAGAACCAACCCUCCUGCCGGAAAUGUCUGGAAAGACAAUGAGUGCAUUCAGGAAGUUUUUUUCCCCUUUUCCCAUGGUUCCCUGCAGCUGUCAUGGGAACUGUUGCUCCCAUGCAGAGAAGCUGCUCACCAAGGACUGGAGAGGCCAGCCUGCAGAUCAGAGAAGCAGAGAGACUUCCAGACAGUUUCUCAUUUGAAAAUUGUUUCCAGAGGGAAUGUUUUUAGUAUUCAUCUAAAACUAGCCUGUAUACUCAGCCUAUCCACUUAACCGGUCACACUGCAAGGCAGCGUGAAUAAUGGAGUUCUACUGCCAGCCUCUGCAUACUGUGAACGAGUCAAGCCACAGAGCCCGAGUGACAUCUGGCUGACAUAGUGACUGAGGGAGACCUCCAGUGUCAAUUCAUAUAUUAAAUAAAGUAUUAAUUUCU